AAAUUGAAGAGUUUGAUCAUGGCUCAGAUUGAACGCUGGCGGCAGGCCUAACACAUGCAAGUCGAACGGUAACAGGAAGCAGCUUGCUGCUUUGCUGACGAGUGGCGGACGGGUGAGUAAUGUCUGGGAAACUGCCUGAUGGAGGGGGAUAACUACUGGAAACGGUAGCUAAUACCGCAUAACGUCGCAAGACCAAAGAGGGGGACCUUCGGGCCUCUUGCCAUCGGAUGUGCCCAGAUGGGAUUAGCUUGUUGGUGGGGUAACGGCUCACCAAGGCGACGAUCCCUAGCUGGUCUGAGAGGAUGACCAGCCACACUGGAACUGAGACACGGUCCAGACUCCUACGGGAGGCAGCAGUGGGGAAUAUUGCACAAUGGGCGCAAGCCUGAUGCAGCCAUGCCGCGUGUAUGAAGAAGGCCUUCGGGUUGUAAAGUACUUUCAGCGGGGAGGAAGGGAGUAAAGUUAAUACCUUUACUCAUUGACGUUACCCGCAGAAGAAGCACCGGCUAACUCCGUGCCAGCAGCCGCGGUAAUACGGAGGGUGCAAGCGUUAAUCGGAAUUACUGGGCGUAAAGCGCACGCAGGCGGUUUGUUAAGUCAGAUGUGAAAUCC
rnacentral:rRNA from 1 species